AUUGAACGCUGGCGGCAGGCCUAACACAUGCAAGUCGAACGCGUGGCGGACGGGUGUGUAAUGUCUGGGAAACUGCCCGAUGGCGGGGGAUAUCUACUGGAAACGGUAGCUAAUACCGCAUACCAUCGGAUGUGCCCCGGUGGGAUUAGCUAGUAGGUGGGGUAACGGCUCACCCAGGCGACGAUCCCUAGCUGGUCUGAGAGGAUGACCAGCCACACUGGAACUGAGACACGGUCCAGACUCCUACGGGAGGCAGCAGUGGGGAAUAUUGCACAAUGGGCGAAAGCCUGAUGCAGCCAUGCCGCGUGUAUGAAGAAGGCCUUCGGGUUGUAAAGUACUUUCAGCGAGGAGGCGUUACUCGCAGAAGAAGCACCGGCUAACUCCGUGCCAGCAGCCGCGGUAAUAC
rnacentral:rRNA from 1 species